rnacentral:rRNA from 1 species
UACGUAGGAUGCGAGCGUUGUCCGGAUUUAUUGGGUGUAAAGGGUGCGUAGGCGGCUUAUUAAGUUAGUGGUGAAAACGUUCGGCUUAACCGGAUACCCGCCAUUGAUACUGAUUGACUUGAGUGCGACAGAGGGUGUUGGAAUGUGUGGUGUAGCGGUGAAAUGCUUAGAUAUCACGCAGAACACCAAUUGCGAAGGCAGAUGCCUAUGUCGUAACUGACGCUGAGGCACGAAAGCGUGGGGAGCAAACAGG